CUGGGCCAGGCCCAGCAUCUCCUGUCCCAGAAUAACCUGUACAUGUUCAAGUAUGAGGAGACUUCCUAUAACCCAUGGAGGGUGCCGUGUGUGCUGCUGUGGGCUUUGUUCCUGCCGGGAGACGGAGUGCUCUCUUUUGCCGUUUUUAAAGAGAUCCAUCUCAUCAGCCUCAGAUCACCAUCUACCACUGAGGCCCAGUGAAGCCAGCCUUCCUACGCCCAGUGAGAUGACCCUGGAAACAGACUGAUGCCAACCUGAAUAUAUGAACUUCUGGUGUGAUGUGAAUGAAAAUAUAUCUUGUUCACUGAGUUUGCUAUACAUUUAGUGUUUUUAUUUUGU
rnacentral:lncRNA from 1 species